rnacentral:misc_RNA from 1 species
ACGAGUCUUUGAAGUGGGUUUGAUGCUGGCCUUCCCAAAGGCAUGUGCUCGCCCUACUCUCAUCCACUCACACCUGUGCACCUUGACGUACAAGAUCUGACUAUUUGCCCUUAGGGGGCAGCCUAGGGAAACUUGGGCUAUGGUUAUUUCUUUGCGUUACUUCUAUACAAACCCUGAAUGUAUUAGAAUGUCUACUGGCCUACGGGCUCUAAUGUUAAUA